GAGCGAAGGCUCCCUCAUGGUCAUGCGUUUGAAAAGGGAAUUCGGUGUAAAUCCGAGACUGUCCCCACAGCUGUAACCUCGGUUUGAAGCCGGGCGGCAGUAGGUCACUUAGCGAAGUGCAAACAAGGCUUGGGAAGACGCUGUCUCGGAGAGGAAGUCAGAAGACCUGCCAUAGCUCGUUUGUGAGA
rnacentral:ncRNA from 2 species